rnacentral:rRNA from 1 species
GCCAAACAGCUAGCUUAACAACCUAAACAACUAAACAACAUAGAUAAAAUAAUAAAGUCUUAAAAAAUAAACUAAACCAUUUUUCCACCUUAGUACGGGCGACAGAAAAGGACAUUCUUAAGCAAUAGAAAAAGUACCGCAAGGGAAAGCUGAAAAAGAAGUGAAACAACCCAUAUAAGCACCACAAAGCAGAGACACAACCUCGUACCUUUUGCAUCAUGAUUUAGCUAGAACACCCAAGCAAAGAGACCUUUAGUUUGUAACCCCGAAACCAAGUGAGCUACCCCGGGACCGCCAACAUGGGCCAACCCGUCUCUGUGGCAAAAGAGUGGGGAGAGCCCCGGGUAGAGGUGAUAGACCUACCGAACUUGGUGAUAGCUGGUUGUCUGGGAAAUGAAUAGAAGUUCAGCCUCGCGUCCCUUAAGUUAAAUAAGAAACACUCUAAUUCAAACACAAAAAGAGAAACACGAGAGUUAGUCAAAGGGGGUACAGCCCCUCUGAUGAAGAAUACAAUCUUACCAGGAGGAUAAGGAUCACACUUAACAAAACACGUCGUCUCAGUGGGCCCAAAAGCAGCCAUCUGAUCAGAAAGCGUUAAAGCUCAAACGACAUAAAGUUUAUUAUUUCGAUAAACAAUCUCACUCCCCUAAAAUUACCAGACUAUUCCAUGCCCCCAUGGAAGAAAUAAUGCUAAAAUGAGUAACAAGGGGGCCAUGGCCCCCUUCCCGGCACAAGUGUAAGCCAGACCGGACCCACCACUGGCAAUUAACGAACCCAAAAAAGAGGGAAAUAUGAAAGACAAAAAAAUCAAGGAAAUCCCAUAUACUAAUAAUCGUUAAACCCACACUGGAGUGCCUCCAGGAAAGACUAAAAGAAAAGGAAGGAACUCGGCAAACAUAAGCCUCGCCUGUUUACCAAAAACAUCGCCUCCUGCAAAUCCCGAAGUAUAGGAGGUCCAGCCUGCCCAGUGACCACAAGUUCAACGGCCGCGGUAUUUUGACCGUGCAAAGGUAGCGCAAUCACUUGUCUUUUAAAUGAAGACCUGUAUGAAUGGCCAAACGAGGGCUUAACUGUCUCCCCUUUCAAGUCAGUGAAAUUGAUCUGCCCGUGCAGAAGCGGACAUAAACCUACAAGACGAGAAGACCCUUUGGAGCUUAAGGUACAAAUCCAACCACAUCAAGCAACCACAUAAACGGCACAAAACUAGUGAAUACUGGCAUUUUACCUUCGGUUGGGGCGACCACGGAGAAAAAAGAUCCUCCGAGUGGACUGAGCCAACAAGCUUAAAACUAAGAAAAACAUUUCUAAGUCACAGAAAAUCUGACCAAAUAUGAUCCGGCCCCCAAGGCCGAUCAACGAACCAAGUUACCCUAGGGAUAACAGCGCAAUCCUCUCCCAGAGUCCAUAUCGACGAGGGGGUUUACGACCUCGAUGUUGGAUCAGGACAUCCUAAUGGUGCAGCCGCUAUUAAGGGUUCGUUUGUUCAACGAUUAAAGUCCUACGUGAUCUGAGUUCAGACCGGAGCAAUCCAGGUCAGUUUCUAUCUGUAACGUUACUUUUCCUAGUACGAAAGGACCGGAAAAGAAGGGCCAACACUAAAAGUGCGCCCUACCCCUAAUUAAUGAAACCAACUAAAUUAAAUAAAGGGAGAACCCCCUCUACUGCCGAAAUAAGGCCAC